UGUGAAAUCUCGUACUACAUAAAAUAAAGCUGGGGUUUUUUGGCCAAAUGGCCUCCUGUAGUUUCACUUGACCUGACGGAAGUUAGUUUGACAUUAGUUGAUAGUUAAUCUGUUAAUAUAAUUAUUUUUUCCUUGUAAAUGUUGUGGUUAGUUGUCGAAAUUUGAUCCCCCUUUCAUGGCAUUAAAAGAUGUAUUAAUACAUUUAGUUUUACCCAUUUACCUUACAAGAUGUGAAAAGUGUAAUUUAAAUAUUUAGUGUCAUUAUCAAGCUAACUUCCUUUUGCUAGAAAAAAACAAACAAAAACAAAACAAAACUGCGCCAUUUUCCGCUCCUCGUUUUUGUCUGCGUUUAGUUAAACUUCACGUUAGUUCCUUAAAGCGUUUGGACAAAGUAAAACCUCGUAUUUACGGUAUAGUUUAUAUUUUCUAUGCUGAACAGUUUUUCUCUUCGGAAACUCCGCUGUGUCCUUAUCGUCAAAGCCUAAACCUGACCUGGAGACAUUCUUCUGGACGCUGGAAAACAAGAUGCUGACAUCUUUGGAGAUGAUUGAUUCACCCCGUCUGGCCAGAGAGGAGUGGAGAGGAGAGCGGUGCUAGAUCCUCCCCGGGGCUGCAGCUUCAUGCUGCCCUGCCAUGGCACCACCGCAGUGUUACUUCACCAGUGAUGGAGCCCCCAGCCCCUCGAUACCCCCCACCCCCAGUCCCCCAUCUCUUGUCUCCAGCAAGCUGCUGCAAUCAGCGCAGACCUUGAUUGGACUUGGGCAGAUUUGAUGCCAUCACAUCUGCCAGAAGAGGCCAAGGAGCACCAUAAUGUGAUCCGGUGACAUACAUGGAAGCCAUUGGAGAUGUUCUUGCUUGCAGUGUUUCUUUCUUUCCACCAACCCCCCGCCCCCCACCACCACCGUGCAACACAGGACAGAUUGGGAAGCCGUGAUGGCGGCACAGAAGUUGAGGGAGAAGCUAUUUAUCCCAGACGGAUCAGGAGGUGUGUGACGGAGGUGUGGACGGUUGCUGCAGGUCAGUGACGUUGGCAGGCGCCAGGCAGGCCGGCCCACAUGGCUCGGGGACUGUGGGACUACAGACAGAUGGCACCUGGUGGGUGACAAACAAUUAACAAACCAACAAGAAUAGCUGGAUCGGCAGUAUACCCACAAGCACAGGAGAUAGCAAGAGAGCGGGUGCAUCUGUGCUCUGAACACUUUCACUCUUUACUUUUCCUCUUCCCAAGUCUUGUUUUGUAUAACAGUUGCAAUUUACCCAUGUGUCUUUUUCACAAAAACACUCUUGUUGUCGUGUCGCUAUAGAAGAGUCUAAAUAAAGCGGUGUUGAGCAUAUGCAGCUAGCAUAUGCUUCUGUUUAUUUCAGUGCAGUUUUGAGAGACGCAGUGGGUAAUUUAAAUGAACAAUACAAUGAAACAACACAUUUGAUAUCUACUUAAAUGUUAAGCAAAAGUUAUAAACAAUCAUAUAAAGUCUGUAACAGCAAAA